rnacentral:rRNA from 1 species
AUUGAACGCUGGCGGCAGGCCUAACACAUGCAAGUCGAGCGGAGCGGCGGACGGGUGUGUAAUGCCUAGGACUCUGCCUGGUAGUGGGGGAUAACGUCCGGAAACGGGCGCAAUUACCGCAUAGUAGCAGAUGAGCCUCGGUGGGAUUAGCUAGUUGGUGGGGUUAAGGCCUACCAAGGCGACGAUCCGUAACUGGUCGGAGAGGAUGAUCAGUCACCGUGGAACUGAGACACGGUCCAGACGCCUACGGGAGGCAGCAGUGGGGAAUAUUGGACAAUGGGCGUAAGCCUGAUACAGCCAUGCCGCGUGUGUGAAGAAGGUCUUCGGAUUGUAAAGCACUUUAAGUUGGGAGGCGUUACCAACAGAAUAAGCACCGGCUAACUUCGUGCCAGCAGCCGCGGUAAUAC